CAGACGAGACAUAUUUUUUGUAUGUGUUAACUCAAUAUUUUAUCUCUUUUACUCGUUCAAUGUUCUCAUAUGCACUAUCCUUGUUUUUCGCUUGUAACAACACUAACACACACAGUGACAGUUGUCAAGCGCGUGGCAUUUUUUCGAUCUGUCGCCAUCUUGACAUACACAAAACCAAAGUCUUGAAGUCGAGUGUUUUAUUGAAAAUAUUUAAAAAUAUUUUAUAAAAACGUUAAAAAGAAACAAUAUCAAUAUGGUAAAAUGCUGUGCAAGUAAUUGUGAAAGUUCCAGUCAUAAGAAAAUACAAGGAAUAUCAUUUCACAGGUAAUUUAUCUAAGGUUCAAUAUAAACAGUAUUUCUGUCGGGCUAAUACUACCAAAAUCAACUCUUUUUUUGAAAGUCUUUAAGGCACAAUCGCUAAUUACUAUGCGUAUUAUCUGUUCCAUCCAAUAUUGGCUUGUUCCAAUGAACUGGGCUUAAAUUUCUUGCAAAUUUACAAAUUUGUUUACAUUUGUUAUGACAGCUUCUGUACUUCAAAAGUAGGUUUCCUAAGGAUAUCGCUCUGCGACAACUUUGGAUAGUAAAUAUGAAACGUCAAACGUGGAAACCGAAACCCAAUAGCUUGUUAUGUUCGAAGCACUUUGUAAAUUAAUACUUAGAUACUAGUAAAUCUUGUACAAAUCUACGACCUGGUGCAGUGCCAACUAUAUUUGAACAAGUUUCUGAGGAUGAAGAAUUAUGUUCACCUCCAAUAAAACGAGUUAAAACUUUGCUUCCAGUGCUUCGUGAGAUUCAAAAUGUUACAGAAAAUUUGCCAGGACCUUCAAAUGUUGAUGUCUUGAAACCACAAACAGUCGAAAAGCUAGUGGAAUCACUGAAGAAGAAGAUUUUAACAAAAAAUAAACAGAUCAAAGCAUUGCGUCAACAACGCAUCCGUUUGAAACGUAAAGUUGCAAAGUUUUCUAAUAUUAUUGCUGAACUGAAAGAUAAAUUAAAUCAAGAAGAUAUACAUAUUUUAAACAAUAUACCGGGAAAUAAUAAAGAUUUUCUGGUGAGGUAUUUAAAAAAA